rnacentral:rRNA from 1 species
GACGAACGCUGGCGGCGUGCCUAAUACAUGCAAGUUGAGCGCUGAAGGUUGGUACUUGUACCAACUGGAUGAGCAGCGAACGGGUGAGUAACGCGUGGGGAAUCUGCCUUUGAGCGGGGGACAACAUUUGGAAACGAAUGCUAAUACCGCAUAAAAACUUUAAACACAAGUUUUAAGUUUGAAAGAUGCAAUUACAUCACUCAAAGAUGAUCCCGCGUUGUAUUAGCUAGUUGGUGAGGUAAAGGCUCACCAAGGCGAUGAUACAUAGCCGACCUGAGAGGGUGAUCGGCCACAUUGGGACUGAGACACGGCCCAAACUCCUACGGGAGGCAGCAGUAGGGAAUCUUCGGCAAUGGACGAAAGUCUGACCGAGCAACGCCGCGUGAGUGAAGAAGGUUUUCGGAUCGUAAAACUCUGUUGGUAGAGAAGAACGUUGGUGAGAGUGGAAAGCUCAUCAAGUGACGGUAACUACCCAGAAAGGGACGGCUAACUACGU